UCGCGUGGGGCUGACGGCGAGUGCGGAAGAAGAUAGAAAAUCAUUGCGUCGAAGAGCAUUAUAAGGCAAAGCGUGCCGUCGUUGUGUCGUUAGUUAUUUGACGUUUUUAAGGUCGUAAGGAUCUGCCGUGCUCGUUGUCCACCAUAGCUUUUGGUGUGUGUCAGCGAUUCGACCAUUGGAGGAUUGCUCUCCUACGGUUCCGAGUGAGGCUGAAAUUAUUGCAGCGUUGGUGUUGUUGUUUUGGUGCUCACCUGCCUCCUCAGUGUGGCGCGUGUGGUGUUAUAUCCUGGUGGCAAAACGGAAUCGUAAAUCCGGUUUUAUCUUCCGAGCAGGGUAUGGUUUUGUGAUGCUCUGGGUUUUCCCCGAGUGAAGGUGGCAGCUGCAAUAAGACGAGAGGGAGGGACGCUUUUAGCAUCUUUAAGCUCCCAUCCACGCGGUUCGAGGGGAAUUGUUCGAACGUAGAAGGGUGUCAAUAUCAAUAAAAUACUUUGCAUAUUACAUAAAUUUCACAUUUCGGUAGAUAAUCUAGAUUUCUAGUCGUGCCCUUCGAUUGUCGAGGUGUGGUGUACUAUUUUAGAGUAGAAUUCAGUGCAGAUAAUAAACGAUAUUACAUUGAGUUAAAUUGUGAACAUCAAUUGGUAGCAUUCGGAUUCGCUUCAAUUACGAAGUUCGGUAUAGUGUUACGUGAGUCCCGUUUUCAGUGCCGUACUCGGAAGCGAUGUCAAUGUGAAAUACGCCACAACGCACCACGUGGCUUUUCCGAGUCGAAUAAAGGGCUCCGAAAACAGCGCUCGUAAGAAUAAACACUCUGACGGAAUCAAUCAAUUAUCGCUUCGCUAGUUGCGUUAACAGCGUGGUCCUUUCUCAGCGUAUAGUCCGCUCGGAAAACCCAGGAGUAAAAAAACAUAUUAUCUCCAUCUAACAAUAGCACAACACACAAAACCCCAUGUCGGAGUGAAAUCCGAGGAAAAUAAACGAAACCCAGCGACGAUAGGAAGCAGAAGUAGAAGAAAAAUCAGCAGCAGCAGGAGGGUGGAUAAGGUAAAACGGUAUACAGCUAGUUUUGCGGGAAACUCGUGGGAAACCAAGCUGCUCGAUGAAAAGUGAAAAGUGGUGAAGCCUGGAAAGAAUCGAGUGAAAAGUGGAUCCCGUAAGAGCAUUUUCGAUAGCUGGCCCCCAUCCGCAACUGGCUUUUCCAUGCCUUAUCCGGUGGUACGACCGGGAAGUGUUUGAAAGUGUAUGGAUGUUUGUCAUCUCCUGCUGUUUUGCUACUCCUGGGCAUUUCCAUCGCUCCGGGUCCAGGUGCGGCUGUUGCUGUCCUACCGUGAAAACGAAGCACCGAGGAGGCUUCGUUCGCUCGUUUCUCUUUGUGAAAGUGUUAUCAGGAAAAAAUCGUCAAAACGUGGGGCGAAAUCAAGACAGGUACUACAGAAUUGAAUGCAGUGCCAUCAGUUGGAUGCCUUAUGAAUGGGUCUCCAAUCGUUGUGGAUGACUAGACUCUGCGGUCCCUGGAGUUACAGUCAACGUGACGACUGUCCCGCGGACGGAUUCGCACAGUUCCUCCACCCGUCACCACCUGGCGACAGCAAAGAAAUGGACGACAUGCUGGUGCAGUGCAACAAAAACAGCGUUUAUGUUCUUAACUCAAGCUAUCGAUACAGGGAUUUCGACAUGAUAGAACUAUUCGGCUCACCGGCAGGAAGAGCGCUGGCUGUGAAGAACAAAUCAGCUAUCGAAAUGCACUCAUGUAGUAACGCAAACAACAACUCCAACGCUGCCAGCAGCAGUAGUUCAACCGCCACCCCCACUAUGAACCAACCAUUCUGUCAACAACCCUUGUACAAUUCUCUUCAAAACGGCGGCUUCAAUGGAACCUGCAGCACCAUAAGUAGCAGUCUCAACCAAAUGAGUAAUUCAACUGUCAGCGACAAGUUUGUAGAAUCGAGCGACAUAAUACUAUACCGAUCCCACCAGUCACAGCCGAAUGAUAUUGCUCCUCAUAGGGCGACCAAUCCCAGCGGCACCAAUCGAACCAGUUCGAAAAUGGCGAAAAUAUGGAAGCUCUUCGAUGAGGAUCGAAUACACAAAAGGGGCAGCAACAACAACAACAGUAGUAUUAGUGGAAGUGACAUAUUUAGUCGUUGUCAGAGCAGGAGGAAGAUAAGCCCUAUUCAAAGUGAAGAGAAGUCCACAAAAGACCUGUACAAUGAAGCAGCUCAACUACUUGGAAUGAAGUGCACCCUGAGUGAUAGCUGUCGGUGCAUUGACUGCCAGAGCCAAUAUUUCGACUGUGAUGACUUCGAUUCAUACUCGGAGUAUUCGGACAAGUCAUACGACACAGAGGACAACUUCGCAGUGAAUCAUUCGUACUUCUCCACCGACAGCAGCCACAACUUGCAGCAGGAGGAAUAUAAUGAAACUAAUUCGGUACAUUCCAACCGCCAAAGUGACAGUGAUGGCAGACUCAUCAUCGACACCAAUCAAAACGAACAUCUCAUGGAACGCGUAAAUGACGGCGAAAAUAAGGAUGACAAUAGCAACAACAAAACCGAUCAAUAUUUACUACAUGACGGAAUCCAGCAUUCGUAUCGGAGCGUGGAGGUUCACCGGAAUUACGCGAACGAAGGACACCCACGCAGGGAUAAUGGGAACGAUAUGGAGCAAAUUCAACAGAUAGAGAGCGAUGCAUCAUCAGGUUCUGUUCGAAAGUGUUCUAUUGCUGAUGGAGUCAAUGAACUGGAAGCGAAUUGCAUGCUGGAAGCAUGAGAGAUAUCAAUCGGUCUACAGGAAGGGAGUCGAAUUUCUAUUGAUGUGGUACAGUGCUACAAACAAACAUGUUACAAACAUACAUGUUACAGGACAAACCCACACCACAACAGCUUCACUAUGCAUCAACAACAGUCGAGUUAAAGCUGGAGUUUCAGUGACAACUGACGGUAGCAGCAUGUAUGUUCCUUGCCAUCCGAAUAACGGCGAUAUUAUCGAAGAUUGCUAACGUUUCUACCAUUUCAACGCCCCGCAGCCUCCCUCCCCCUACUGCACGUAUACAUACACACCCACACAUCCACGACGUUUGGGAUAUAGCGAGUUCGAAGUUGUGAACUGCAAGCACAGUGAAUAACUUUGCCACGGUCUUCCGUUCUGCUCUCCGGCCACUUCGCUCACAACCGGAACCUUUUUGCGUAGCUUUAGGGCACGGAGCGCGUGAUAACAAGCGAAGUCACGUACUACUAUCUGAUCCAUUAGUUUUAAGUGGAUUAUUUCUGUUUUGCUUCACAUUUAUGGCAUCCGUUGGUCGAACUGUGAGUUGUCGGUUUUAUUUACUGCAAUACGAAGGUUUAGAGGAGAGGAAAAAUUAUCUGGGAAAAUGUGGCAAUGAAACGCUAGCUCGAUUUAGUGAUAAACAGUCGUCUCGUAAAUGUUGACAAACAUACAUCUAGUCCAAUAGCAUUUGAACCGUCACCUGUGUUUCGAGAAAACAUGAAUUGUACUCACAUCUAAUAUCGAAGAAUAUUCACAUUUACUCGUAUAACCCCCUACCCCAUGAAAUGACUACAAUAUUUAUUCCUAUUUAAUUUACCAUUUUUCCUUUUUCAAUAUAGCGAAAAUGUGAUUUUUAUCUUUAUUUGAGAGACUUUCUGUCGUUGACUGUUUCGUCUCUAUGUAAUACGAACAAGAGUCGCGGAAGAGUUCUCCAAUAUGGUAGGUACACCUCUUAUUUGAUUACACUCAGCGAAUGGGGCCCAGAGAGACUGCCCAAAUGUUGGGGCCUUGGGCUUUUUUUGACGUAGAACUACGUCUGGGUGCCAAAUCAGAAAACAGGUCACGUUUUUAUGAAAUAAAGUUCACGUUAAUAACUAUUUUCACUGUGCACGAAUUCUCAUGAUUUGCAUACCAAUCGAAUCGGAAACUCUCUAAGAUUUGUUUGAUAUGCUAUACAUUACAAUUCGCUAAUCUCUAAACGUUUUAAAUUCAUGAAAACUGGAAGAACUUCCUUUUUUCCCAUACAUUUGUUCUGCUGAUUCGUGUGCCAACCUUGCCCGUAUUUCGAAUGCUUAUAACUCGAACAUUCCUUAAUUGAUCGGAAAAAUGUUUGCAAAUAUACAUGUAAGUAGGGGGUAGUUUUGUCCCCAUCGAGCUGUGUUUCCCUAACACGGACUUCAAAAUCAAUUUGCCUGGGGGAAUCCGCUUUGUCAAAACAUGCAAGUCGGGGGUAUUUCUUUCCCACUGAGCUGUGUUUCCCUAACACGGACUUCAAAAUUAUUGUGUCUGGGGGAAUCCGAUUUGCAAAUACAUGCAAGUCGGGGGUAUUUUCGGUGUUGAGUACUUUUGUACUCACUUGUCGUUGUGCGUACCGGAAUAUGUUUCCUUAAAACGUACUUUUAAACUGAGAAGCCUGGAAAAAUCGUCAUUUCAGAUACUAGAGGUGAAUGAACUUUCGCGGUUCAAGAACUACGUAAACAUGAGAUGUGUGAUAAUUUCAGAGGAAAAUGUAAAAUACAAUGAUCGUUUGACAAUUCUUCCGUUCAUAUAUUGUGGUAGUCCUUGGCAUAUAUAAAUCAUAAAAGGACGUUCAUCAAAUUUAUUUGUAACGAAGAACAUACUAUAUUUCAAAGAUUUAGAUGCAUCCUGAAAUAAUAGUCAAAGUGGUAAAAACAAGUGGAUUGCAUAAUAUAAUUGCGUAGUUCUACGUCCAAAAUAUGCGGUCGUGUCCUAGAUACAACCCCUUACAUUUUUUCAUCCAGUUAUUAUAGAUUCUCACCUUUUCUAGCACUUAACAUGAAAAGAAGCAAACGAAAAAAUUGAAAGAACUACAAAAACUGAAAAAUAAACGAUGCUUGUUUUUAACGCAAUUUGCUAACAUAAGCAUUUUAUCUUUGGUUUUGACUGUCACUUUUUUGCAAAUGUUUCAUAUUUUGAAUUAUAGACUAAAUCAAUGCCUGUAAAUGAUGUUAAAAUGUAGCUUAUACCUCAAAAAAUGUCAGGGCUUCCAUUAUUCAAUUAUUUAUAACAUUAAAGUGCAGUAAAUUUACAUUUAAAAAUCAAGUGUUCGGAAAUUGAGACUGUUCGGAAUAUGAGACAAAACGGUAUAUUUGGUAAUUUGAAGCUUGAUAUAAUGAUUAACCAUUAUUGUUUGAGAGAAAACAAGUGUAGCUAAGUGUACAAUGUGAUUUUUUUUAUUUAGACCGUAUUGGUUUGGCAAUAUUAGGCGACUUGCUUAGGGGGUUCAAAUUCUCCCCAUUUCCCCUACAUGUCUCAAAUCAGGUAAUACUAAUUCUCCCAAUGUAGUUCUCCAUCGUGUGUAAAUGCUUACUAAUACCUUUCUAAGCACUAUGCUAUUCUGAAUUUGAGUCGAGUCUUCACGAUUAUAGGUAACUGUAUCCUUUCUAUCAUUAUCAUCACGACAUUCAUUCAUUUUAAUAUUGCUCUUUGAUCAUAAAGUGUAUGGUCCACAUGAAAAUAAUGUGCGGCCUUCUCAAAAAGGCUUCAUGUACUGCGGAACCAGCAAGAUGAAAGCAAAACAGAAAGCACUAAAUGAUAACGGUCAAAGUGAAAAUAAAUAACCACUGAUAAAAACGACAACCGCAGGCCGUUAAAUCCAAUUUUUCUCCAGUUCAUAGCGAGCAGCUGAGCAUAUCAUCAACUGGCCCACUCUGAAGUGCUCAUGCUAGAAAAACGAUUGCCAUACUCUUUUUUCACUUUUGAGGAAAAUAUUGCCAUCUAUCUCCUUCUUUCUUUACUUGUCCCUGUUGCCACUGGCCGAAAAACCUUGAGUUUCAAGUCAUCUACACAAAAUUAUGAUUGAAUUAUAUGUUCCGUUAGUUGAACGACCAAGUAAUUAAAAAAUAUCAGAAAGCUAGAAAUUGAAAACAGUCUUCAGUCACAUGACAUUCCAGCAGAUAACAACAAACCGUGAACAAACUUAUCAGUAUAAUUACUUUUCCACAAACUUGGUGCAAUUCUGCAGAUGAGAACAACUGCAGUGUACAGAAAAAAACCGGCAAAAAUUUUCCAGCUGGGGGCCGCUGCACGAAUGUGGGUGACAGACAGAAAAACACGACGGUAGACAAAAAAAACUGUAAAACAAAUUUUAAUUCCAAAACUCGCCAUGGCAUCACUCGUUCGCUGUAUGUAUAUGAUGUGAGUCACUUCGAAGAACUUAUUUUCUUCAUCACUUUCUUCGUUCAUUGACGCUGUGGGGGAAUCGAGGAAGCUUACUAAUGAAUGAGUAGAAACGUUCGAAAGUUCGAGCUCUAAGUACGUACACUCCAAAAAGUAGCACGAUACAAUAGUUUCUAUUUCAUCUCGAUGAGUUGCAAAAAAAAAAGAGUGGGAGGAGGCAUGCAGAUGAAGUUAUUGCAGGCUCAGGAGCUGCAACCCCGUGUAAAAUAUGAUAAAAUCGAGAGAUUUCAAAUACUUGCUAGGAUAUAGAACAUACUAACGAGCAAACAAAUUGACAGCGGGACGAUGGAAAGAGUUCGAAUAUAUAUAGAUGUUUGAAACAGCAUGCAAGAUAGCAGUUCAAUCUAGAAUACGUUUCCUGCGAAAGUAAAAUUGAAUAGCUGUAAGUUGUUUAUUGAGAUAUUUUCUAUAGAAAUUCUAAUACUAUGUUAACGACUAAUGGUAGCUAAAAUGGAAUGCCAAAAUAUGUAUUACGACAAAACACUUUGUGCCCUCUUUUCCCCAGAUGAAUCUAUUAACGCCAAAAAAAAAGUUGAUGUAUCAAAUCGUAAUCUAUAUAUAGGAUAAACCAGAUAUUGUGACCUAGGAAUAAAAUCCACAACUGACGAUAAACCAAGAAAAAAACUCCGUUAUUAUUAUUGCUGAAUAAAAGUUAUGGUGAACACUUA